rnacentral:lncRNA from 10 species
AGUCAUAAGCAUAAAUGUUCUAAGAGUGUACAACAGGACUUUGCGUCCGUCAGUGAGGAUAACAAGUCUGUCAUUGGAUAGAUCCUAAGUGAAAUUAGAUAUAAAAGAGAAAUGAAUUGAAUUUACUGGACAACAUUCUUCAGAUCUGCUGGGACAUAUUUUCAUUUUCUGUGAGUACUGGAAUGGAUUGGGACAAGCCCACUCUGCCCCUCAUCCUGUGCCUAUGAAGACCCCAGACUCAGUCAGAGAGAAAGGGAGAAGCAGCUGGACUUCUGAAAGAAGAAACUUGACUUCAGAGGGAAGACUUGAUGGCUUGAUUUCAAAGAAGAGUCCUGCCAGAGAUGGCCAGACUUGAGGGGAAGAUUACCUGCCCAUCCCAUUUCCUUUCCAGCUCCCCUUCCUGCUGAGAGCCACUUUUUCAUCGUUCAAUGAAAUUGUCUACAUUCACCAUCCUUCAAUUUGUUCCUGCUACCUCAUUUUUCCUGGAUGACAGACAAGAGCUCGGGAGCCACAAGUGCAGAUACUCAAAAAAAAAGGCUGUCACACUGGCCCUUUGCCCUCAGUAGUGGAAGGCAG